UACAGAGGGUGCAAGCGUUAAUCGGAAUUACUGGGCGUAAAGUGUGCGUAGGUGGUUCUUUAAGUCAGGUGUGAAAUCCCUGGGCUCAACCUGGGAACUGCAUUUGAUACUGGAGAGCUAGAGUGUGGUAGAGGAUGGUGGAAUUCCCGGUGUAGCGGUGAAAUGCGUAGAGAUCGGGAGGAACACCAGUGGCGAAGGCGGCUACCUGGACCAGCACUGACACUGAGGCACGAAAGCGUGGGGAGCAAACAGG
rnacentral:rRNA from 1 species